rnacentral:rRNA from 1 species
UGGGGAAUAUUGCACAAUGGGCGCAAGCCUGAUGCAGCCAUGCCGCGUGUAUGAAGAAGGCCUUCGGGUUGUAAAGUACUUUCAGCGGGGAGGAAGGGAGUAAAGUUAAUACCUUUGCUCAUUGACGUUACCCGCAGAAGAAGCACCGGCUAACUCCGUGCCAGCAGCCGCGGUAAUACGGAGGGUGCAAGCGUUAAUCGGAAUUACUGGGCGUAAAGCGCACGCAGGCGGUUUGUUAAGUCAGAUGUGAAAUCCCCGGGCUCAACCUGGAAACUGCAUCUGAUACUGGCAAGCUUGAGUCUAGUAGAGGGGGGUAGAAUUCCAGGUGUGGCGGUGAAAUGCGUAGAGAUCUGGAGGAAUACCGGUGGCGAAGGCAACACCCUGGACAAAGACUGACGCUCAGGUGCGAAAGCGUGGGGAGCAAACGGG